rnacentral:rRNA from 1 species
AGCGAACGCUGGCGGCAGGCUUAACACAUGCAAGUCGAACGCCCGGGCAACCGGGAGUGGCAGACGGGUGAGUAACGCGUGGGAACGUACCCUUUGGUUCGGAAUAACUCAGGGAAACUUGAGCUAAUACCGGAUAAGCCCCGAGAGGGGGAAAGAUUUAUUGCCGAAGGAUCGGCCCGCGUCCGAUUAGCUAGUUGGUGUGGUAAUGGCGCACCAAGGCGACGAUCGGUAGCUGGUCUGAGAGGAUGAUCAGCCACACUGGGACUGAGACACGGCCCAGACUCCUACGGGAGGCAGCAGUGGGGAAUAUUGGACAAUGGGGGCAACCCUGAUCCAGCCAUGCCGCGUGAGUGAUGAAGGCCUUAGGGUUGUAAAGCUCUUUCGGCGGGGACGAUAAUGACGGUACCCGCAGAAGAAGCCCCGGCUAACUUCGUGCCAGCCGCCGCAGUAAAAC